GUGACACUUUAGUAAGUUUUAGAUACAGUGUAAUAUAAAUAAUAGUGAUUGACUUGCUUGGUAAAAGUAUUACUUAACUUAGAGGCAGUUCUGGCACUGGAAGGGUUAAUUCACCCAAAGAAAGAGAAAUUAGAAGUCCGUUUCAACAAGCUGAGAACUAGGAGUGGAGAGUGGGGAAGUCCGUUUUAACAAGCCGAGGUCUGGGAGUGGAGAAGGUAGAAUUCAGAGUUACAAGCCGAGGUCUAGGAGUGGAGAAGGUAGAAAUCCGUUUACAAGCCGAGGUCGAGAAGUGGAGAAGGUAGAAAUCCGUUUACAAGCCGAGGUCGA